GGGGCUGCAAUACAGAUGUAAGCCCACCUGGAAUAACGGCCAAAGUAACUUGAGAAGACUUUGCCAAUUUUUUUAUGUCAUCAGAUGUGUGGGCUCUGAACAUAUCCCAAACUAGCAAUGAUGGUUUUUUCUUUAAGGCUGCUCCUGGUCGUCUGUUCCAAAUUUCUUCCAGCCAUUUUUUUGUUUCGUCUUCAUCCAUCCAGCCUUUAACAUGUGCGCGCACUGUAAUUCGUGGUGGGAAUUUUACCUUUUUAGGC